AUUGAACGCUGGCGGCAGGCCUAACACAUGCAAGUCGAACGGUAACAGGAAGAAGCUUGCUUCUUUGCUGACGAGUGGCGGACGGGUGAGUAAUGUCUGGGAAACUGCCUGAUGGAGGGGGAUGACUACUGGAAACGGUAGCUAAUACCGCAUAACGUCGCAAGACCAAAAAGGGGGACCUUCGGGCCUCUUGCCAUCGGAUGUGCCCAGAUGGGAUUAGCUAGUAGGUGGGGUAACGGCUCACCUAGGCGACGAUCCCUAGCUGGUCUGAGAGGAUGACCAGCCACACUGGAACUGAGACACGGUCCAGACUCCUACGGGAGGCAGCAGUGGGGAAUAUUGCACAAUGGGCGCAAGCCUGAUGCAGCCAUGCCGCGUGUAUGAAGAAGGCCUUCGGGUUGUAAAGUACUUUCAGCGGGGAGGAAGGGAGUAAAGUUAAUACCUUUGCUCAUUGACGUUACCCGCAGAAGAAGCACCGGCUAACUCCGUG
rnacentral:rRNA from 1 species